UACGUAGGUGGCAAGCGUUGUCCGGAUUUACUGGGCUUAAAGAGCUCGUAGGCGGUUCAGUCAGUCGGGUGUGAAAUCUCCGGGCUCAACUCGGAGGGGCCACCCGAUACUGCUGUGACUCGAGUCCGGUAGGGGAGUGGGGAAUUCCUGGUGUAGCGGUGAAAUGCGCAGAUAUCAGGAGGAACACCGGUGGCGAAGGCGCCACUCUGGGCCGGUACUGACGCUGAGGAGCGAAAGCGUGGGGAGCGAACAGG
rnacentral:rRNA from 1 species